rnacentral:rRNA from 1 species
AUGCACGCUGGCGGCGUGCCUCAUCCCUGCCAGUCGCGCGAACAGACGAGGAGCUUGCUCCUCUGACGUUAGCGGCGGACGGGUGAGUAACCCGUGGAUAACCUACCUAUAAGACUGGGAUAACUUCGGGAAACCGGAGCUAAUACCGGAUAAUAUAUUGAACCGCAUGGUUCAAUAGUGAAAGACGGUUUUGCUGUCACUUAUAGAUGGAUCCGCGCCGCAUUAGCUAGUUGGUAAGGUAACGGCUUACCAAGGCAACGAUGCGUAGCCGACCUGAGAGGGUGAUCGGCCACACUGGAACUGAGACACGGUCCAGACUCCUACGGGAGGCAGCAGUAGGGAAUCUUCCGCAAUGGGCGAAAGCCUGACGGAGCAACGCCGCGUGAGUGAUGAAGGUCUUCGGAUCGUAAAACUCUGUUAUUAGGGAAGAACAGAUGUGUAAGUAACUAUGCACGUCUUGACGGUACCUAAUCAGAAAGCCACGGCUAACUACGUG